rnacentral:rRNA from 1 species
GACGAACGCUGGCGGCGUGCUUAACACAUGCAAGUCGAACGGAAAGGCCCUUCGGGGUACUCGAGUGGCGAACGGGUGAGUAACACGUGGGUGAUCUGCCCUGCACUUUGGGAUAAGCCUGGGAAACUGGGUCUAAUACCGAAUAGGACCACGCGCUUCAUGGUGUGUGGUGGAAAGCUUUUGCGGUGUGGGAUGGGCCCGCGGCCUAUCAGCUUGUUGGUGGGGUAAUGGCCUACCAAGGCGACGACGGGUAGCCGGCCUGAGAGGGUGACCGGCCACACUGGGACUGAGAUACGGCCCAGACUCCUACGGGAGGCAGCAGUGGGGAAUAUUGCACAAUGGGCGCAAGCCUGAUGCAGCGACGCCGCGUGAGGGAUGACGGCCUUCGGGUUGGAAACCUCUUUCAAUAGGGACGAAGCGCAAGUGACGGUACCGAUAGAAGAAGCACCGGCCAACUACGU